rnacentral:rRNA from 1 species
CGCACGGGUGAGUAACACGUAUCCAACCUGCCUUAUACUCCCGGACAGCCUUCUGAAAGGAAGAUUAAUACGGGAUGGUAUCACGAGCCAGCAUUUUCUCGUGAUUAAAGAACUUCGGUAUAAGAUGGGGAUGCGUUCCAUUAGAUAGUAGGCGGGGUAACGGCCCACCUAGUCUACGAUGGAUAGGGGUUCUGAGAGGAAGGUCCCCCACAUUGGAACUGAGACACGGUCCAAACUCCUACGGGAGGCAGCAGUGAGGAAUAUUGGUCAAUGGGCGCGAGCCUGAACCAGCCAAGUAGCGUGAAGGAUGACUGCCCUACGGGUUGUAAACUUCUUUUAUAAAGGAAUAAAGUGAGGCACGUGUGCCUUUUUGUAUGUACCAUAUGAAUAAGGAUCGGCUAACUCCGUGCCAGCAGCCGCGGUAAUACGGAGGAUCCGAGCGUUAUCCGGAUUUAUUGGGUUUAAAGGGAGCGUAGGUGGACAGUUAAGUCAGUUGUGAAAGUUUGCGGCUCAACCGUAAAAUUGCAGUUGAUACUGGCUGUCUUGAGUACAGUAGAGGUGGGCGGAAUUCGUGGUGUAGCGGUGAAAUGCUUAGAUAUUAGGA